GUCCUCACUUUGGCAGCACAUAUACUAAAAUUGGAAUGAUACAGAGAUUAGCAUGGCCCCUGCACAAGGAUGACACACAAAUUUAUAAAGCAUUCCAUAUUUUU
ensembl:snRNA U6 U6 spliceosomal RNA